rnacentral:rRNA from 1 species
GAUGAACGCUGGCGGCGUGCCUAAUACAUGCAAGUCGAGCGAAUGGAUUAAGAGCUUGCUCUUAUGAAGUUAGCGGCGGACGGGUGAGUAACACGUGGGUAACCUGCCCAUAAGACUGGGAUAACUCCGGGAAACCGGGGCUAAUACCGGAUAACAUUUUGAACCGCAUGGUUCGAAAUUGAAAGGCGGCUUCGGCUGUCACUUAUGGAUGGACCCGCGUCGCAUUAGCUAGUUGGUGAGGUAACGGCUCACCAAGGCAACGAUGCGUAGCCGACCUGGGAGGGUGAUCGGCCACACUGGGACUGAGACACGGCCCAGACUCCUACGGGAGGCAGCAGUAGUGAAGCUUCCGCAAUGGACGAAAGUCUGACGGAGCAACGCCGCGUGAGUGAUGAAGGCUUUCGGGUCGUAAAACUCUGUUGUUAGGGAAGAACAAGUGCUAGUUGAAUAAGCUGGCACCUUGACGGUACCUAACCAGAAAGCCACGGCUAACUACGUGCCAGCCGCCGCGGUAA